AGCAGCCGCGGUAAUUCCAGCUCCAAUAGCGUAUAUUAAAGUUGUUGCAGUUAAAAAGCUCGUAGUUGAAUUUCGGAGUUUGUCGGUUGGUCGGGCUUCAUUGUCCGCACUGACCUGAUGGAUUCCUACCUUCUGAAUAACCAGCAUGCUAUUAAGUUAGUGCGGUUGGGGAAGCAGAGCUAUUACCUUAGAAAAAUUAGAGUGACUUAAAGCAGGCUUAUGCUUGAAUAG
rnacentral:rRNA from 1 species